CACAGCUGUUUAGGAUGCAGUCAUUAACGAGACACACACACACACACGCACACACAUUCUUGUACUUGUUGCUUUUUGAGGUCCACCUUGCAGUUCAGCUGCUUGUACACACAGUUAAUAUGUGUCUGCUUCACCACCUAUCUCCACCCACAAACUUUGAGCUACAGAAACCAUUCUGGGCUUCAAAAAUUCAGCUCAUUGAAGAUAUUAUGGGGUGUUUUCAGGAUUGUGAUAAUAAAUUGUAUUAAUGUGUUCAGCAGAGUCUUGUGUUCUCACAAGCUCCUUAUGAAUAUAUACAGAGGGUGAGCGUCAGGGCCUACUUGGAGUCCUGUUUCUUUAGCUUCAAGCCUUCUUUCUCCUGCUAUAGUUAUGCAUCCAAGGUCCCCAUGGCAACCAAUUUGUGCACCUGGAGACACACAGCUGACUGGAAAGCUGCUUCUAGUGGCCAUAUGAGACACAUGAAGCCAGGCUCAGUACACAUAGCAAUUGGGAUGACACUUAAAACCCUUUCCUAGAGCGUUGGAAAAAACUUCAGCCCCUAUCUCCUCACAUGACCUUUGACCUACAGAAACCAUUCAGGGCUUUGAAAUUUAAGCUCAUUGAGGACAUUAUUGGGUGUAUUUAGAAUUGUUAUUCAUUUAAAUUUUUCACAUUUUAAAGUCACUCAGUGAUGAUUUAUCAUUUAAUUUUUCAAACUAAUUUAAACUCAUUCAAACUGAUUCAAACCUUUCUAAUACUUCAAAACUUUCUGAUACUUGAGGACUUUUGAUAAUUUAAAAUUUCCCUGUUUUAAAUUAGUUUUAAUAUUUAUGCAUUACUCCAUCAUUCAAACAAAAUCCUACCUCAAGUACGACAACUACUGCUAAUGUCAAUUAAACUAGAACUUUCCCCUCUACUUCAACUGCUAUUGCUCCUAUUUCUACUUUCUUUACUACUUUGACUUAUACUUCUUUUAUUCUCAAUCUACUUCUACUGCUGACAUGACUACUAGUAUCACGACUUGACUUCUUAUCAUACUACUUCUAGUACUACAAUUUAAACUUAUGCCACUUCUCACCUUCCUGCCUUUUAAGGCAAUUUCCUUCUUCAUUCAAACUUUGUGCAAUUUUCGACAUUUUUCUAGCCUCUUUCAGCAUGAAUAAAAUUUCCUUUUAUAGAGCAUAUUCAUACUAUUUGUCCUUCAACCAAUUAAGUAGUUAUCCAACUUAUUUUUCUUUUUCAUUCCUUCAACAGCUUUAACAUUUAUACCUUUCUCCAUGUUUUAUUAGCAGUUUAGCAUUGCUUUUUCAGCUUUCAGCACUCAGCAUUUCCACGCAUUUUCUGCAAGGAAAUGCAAUUUUUCUAGUUAUUAUUAUUAUUAUUAUUAUUAUUAUUCUUCCGCCGUUUUUCGUCCGCUUUCAACUCCUUCCCAGUUUGUGCGAUUUCAACCGUUCAAACUUUAAACUAUUCCACUCCUUCAGGACACGUUUGCUAUUACUUUUCACUUUUCUAACAUUUAUACUUUUUGUUUUUUUUUACUUUUUGUGCAAAAAUUUUAACAUUGAAGUCAAUGGGGAAAUCUUCCAAUUCUUCCUUUUAUUCUUCCACCUUCUAGACCUUAUAACUUCAGCAUACUUUCACCUAGAGACCUCAUUUUUGCUUUAAAAUGUUCAUAUACUUGUCGACUAUUAUAGUUGUACUCAGUUUUUUGAUAUCUCUUACAGUUUUUCCACAAUUUAGCUUUAAGCAACUUGUGGUUUUCAGCAAAUUUCAAGCUUUAUAAUGGGUGUGUAUUGGAGAGUUUAGAGUGAUGAUGUCAUCAGCUAGAGUGCAGACCUCGUCUCUGAUCGACAGAACCUCGCUCGAAUAUAUCGCUCCCACGCCCACAAAUCUCACUCCACUGACACAAAUAAUACAUCAAAAUGGAGGUAUAUGUGUCCUGCUUCUCACAAAAGAGGUUUCAAAUCAUUAAAUCCUACCCCUUGGCCAGCAGGUGACCAACUGUCCAAAAAAGGCGGAAAUCUCUCCCAUUGACCAUAAUGUUAUUUUUCUCCAAGAAAAUCCGGAUCAUCGCUCAGGCUCAGACUUUUUUAACUCGCUGUUGUGGCCUCAUUUUUCGAAGUACAGACAUGAAAAAGACAUCAUUGUGUUCAUGAAGGGCGGAGGAUUCGUACAAUGUUCUUAUUUUCAUUCUGUGACUUAAGGAAAACACGCUAUGUGAAGAAGUUUAGAGCCUCUAAAUCCUCUGCAGUUCAGCUGCUUCUCAUUCAAACAGUAGGUCAGUGAUUUGCCUUUGAUCUCACAGCUGUUUAGGAUGCAGUCAUUAACGAGACACACACACACACACACAUUCUUGUACUUGUUGCUUUAUGAGGUCUACCUUGCAGUUCAGCUGCUUGUACACACAGUUAAUAUGUGUCUGCUUCGCCACCUAUCUCCACCCACAAACUUAGAGCUACAGAAACCAUUCUGGGCUUCUAAAAUUCAGCUCAUUGAAGAUAUUAUGGGGUGUUUUGAGGAUUGUGAUAAUAAAUUGUAUUAAUGUGUUUAGCAGAGUCUUGUGUUCUCACAAGCUCCUUAUCAGGAAUAGAUACAGAGGAUGAGCGUCAGGGCCUACUUGGAGUCCUGUUUCCUUAGCUUCAAGCCUUCUUUCUCCUGCUAUAGUUAUGCAUCCAAGGUCCCCAUGGCAACCAAUUAGUGCACCUGGAGACACACAGCUGACUGGAAAGCUGCUUCUAAUGGCCAUAUGAGACACAUGAAGCCAGGCUCAGCACACAUAGCACUGGGGAUGACACUUAAAACCCUUUACUAGAGCGCUUGAAAAAACUUCAGCCCCUAUCUCCUCACAUGACCUUUGACCUACAGAAACCAUUCAGGGCUUUAAAAUUUGAGCUCAUUGAGGACAUUAGGGGGUGUAUUUAGGAUUUAUAUACAUUUAGAUUUUUCACAUUUUAAAGUCACUCAGUGAUGAUUUAUCAUUUAAUUUUUCAAACUAAUUUGAACUGAUUCAAACUGAUUCAAACCUUUCUAAUACUUAAAAAAUUAAACUUAUGCCACUUCUCACCUUCCUGCCUUUUAAGGCAAUUUCCUUCUUCAUUCAAACUUUGUGCAAUUUUCGACAUUUUUCUAGCCUCUUUCAGCAUGAAUAAAAUUUCCUUUUAUAGAGCAUAUUCAUACUAUUUGUCCUUCAACCAAUUAAUCAAUUAUCCAACUUAUAUUUCUGUUCACCCCUUCAACAGCUUUAACAUUUAUACCUUUCUCCAUGUUUUAUUAGCAGUUUAGCAUUGCUUUUUCAGCUUUCAGCACUCAGCAUUUCCACGCAUUUUCUGCAAGGAAAUGCAAUUUUUCUAGUUAAGUGGAAAUGCUGAUUAAGCAUUUCCACUUAUUGUUAUUCUCCUGUUUCUUUAUUAAACUUAUUAAGUGGAAAUGCUGAUUAAGCAUUUCCACUUAUUGUUAUUCUCCUGUUUCUUUAUUAAACUUAUUAUUAUUCUUCCGUCCCUUUUUUGCAACGCUUCUCCUCCUUCAAACUUUGUCCGAUUUCAACCAUUCAAACUUUAAACUAUUCCACUCCUUCAGGACAUUAUGGCUAUUACUUUUUUCUUUUCUACCCCUUAUACUUUUUGAUAUUUUUGACUUUUUGUGCAAAAAAUUUUCCCAUUAAAAUGAAUGGGGAAAUCUUCAAAUUCUACCUUUUACUCCUCCACCUUCUCAGCCUUAUAACUUCAGCGUACUUUCACCUACAGACCUAAUUUUUGCUUUAAAAUGUUCACAAUCUUCUCCUCCAAAUAUGCUGUAUUGACUUUUUUGUGCUAUCUCCUACAGUUUUUCCACAAUUUAGCUUUAAGCAACUUGUGGUUUUCAGCAAAUUUCAAGCUUUAUAAUGGGUGUGUAUUGGAGAGUUUAGAGUGAUGAUGUCAUCAGCUAGAGUGCAGACCCCGUCUCUGAUCGACAGAACCUCGCUCGAAUAUAUCGCUCCCACGCCCACAAAUCUCACUCCACAGCCAUAAAUAAUACAUCAAAAUGGAGGUAUAUGUGUCCUGCUUCUCACAAAAGAGGUUUCAAAUCAUUAAAUCGUACCCCUUGGCCAGCAGGUGACCAACUGUCCAAGGAAGGCGGAAAUCUCUCCCAUUGACCAUAAUGUUAUUUUUCUCCAAGAAAAUCCGGAUCAUCGCUCAGGCUCAGACUUUUUUAACUCGCUGUUGUGGCCUCUUUUUUCGAAGUACAGACAUGAAAAAGACAUCAUUGUGUUCAUGAAGGGCGGAGGAUUCGUACGAUGUUCUUAUUUUCAUUCUGUGACUUAAGGAAAUCACGCUAUGUGAAGAAGUUUAGAGCCUCUAAAUCCUCUGCAGUUCAGCUGCUUCUCAUUCAAACAGUAGGUCAGUGAUUUGCCUUUGAUCUCACAGCUGUUUAGGAUGCAGUCAUUAAUGAGACAAACGCACACACACACACAUUCUUGUACUUGUUGCUUUGUCAGGUCUACCUUGCAGUUCACCUGCUUGUACACACAGUUAAUAUGUGUCUGCUUCGCCACCUAUCUCCACCCACAAACUUUGAGCUACAGAAACCAUUCUGGGCUUCAAAAAUUCAGCUCAUUGAAGAUAUUAUGGGGUGUUUUGAGGAUUGUGAUAAUAAAUUGUAUUAAUGUGUUCAGCAGAGUCUUGUGUUCUCACAAGCUCCUUAUGAAUAUAUACAGAGGGUGAGCGUCAGGGCCUACUUGGAGUCCUGUUUCUUUAGCUUCAAGCCUUCUUUCUCCUGCUAUAGUUAUGCAUCCAAGGUCCCCAUGGCAACCAAUUUGUGCACCUGGAGACACACAGCUGACUGGAAAGCUGCUUCUAGUGGCCAUAUGAGACACAUGAAGCCAGGCUCAGUACACAUAGCAAUUGGGAUGACACUUAAAACCCUUUCCUAGAGCGUUGGAAAAAACUUCAGCCCCUAUCUCCUCACAUGACCUUUGACCUACAGAAACCAUUCAGGGCUUUGAAAUUUAAGCUCAUUGAGGACAUUAUUGGGUGUAUUUAGGAUUGUUAUUCAUUUAAAUUUUUCACAUUUUAAAAGUCACUCAGUGAUGAUUUAUCAUUUAAUUUUUCAAACUAAUUUAAACUCAUUCAAACUGAUUCAAACCUUUCUAAUACUUCAAAACUUUCUGAUACUUGAGGACUUUUGAUAAUUUAAAUUUUCCCUGUUUUAAAUUAGUUUUAAUAUUUAUGCAUUACUCCAUCAUUCAAACAAAAUCCUACCUCAAGUACGACAACUACUGCUAAUGUCAAUUAAACUAGAACUUUCCCCUCUACUUCAACUGCUAUUGCUCCUAUUUCUACUUUCUUUACUACUUUGACUUAUACUUCUUUUAUUCUCAAUCUACUUCUACUGCUGACAUGACUACUAGUAUCACGACUUGACUUCUUAUCAUACUACUUCUAGUACUACAACUGAAUCUUAUGCCACUUCUCACCUUCCUGCCUUUUAAGGCAAUUUCCUUCUUCAUUCAAACUUUGUGCAAUUUUCGACAUUUUUCUAGCCUCUUUCAGCAUGAAUAAAAUUUCCUUUUAUAGAGCAUAUUCAUACUAUUUGUCCUUCAACCAAUUAAUCAAUUAUCCAACUUAUAUUUCUGUUCACCCCUUCAACAGCUUUAACAUUUAUACCUUUCUCCAUGUUUUAUUAGCAGUUUAGCAUUGCUUUUUCAGCUUUCAGCACUCAGCAUUUCCACGCAUUUUCUGCAAGGAAAUGCAAUUUUUCUAGUUAAGUGGAAAUGCUGAUUAAGCAUUUCCACUUAUUGUUAUUCUCCUGUUUCUUUAAUCUUAUUAUUAUUAUUCUUCCGCCGUUUUUUGUCACGCUUCUCCUCCUUCAAACUUUGUCCGAUUUCAACCAUUCAAACUUUAAACUAUUCCACUCCUUCAGGACAUGUGUGCUAUUACUUUUCACUUUUCUACCCUUUAUACUUUUUGAUUUUUUUAACUUUUUGUGCAAAAAUUUUAACAUUGAAGUCAAUGGGGAAAUCUUCCACUUCUUCCUUUUUUUCUUCCACCUUCUAGACCUUAUAACUUCAGCAUACUUUCACCUAGAGACCUCAUUUUUGCUUUAAAAUGUUCAUUCACUUGUCGACUAUUAUAGUUGUACUCAGUUUUUUGAUAUCUUUUACAGUUUUUCCACAAUUUAGCUUUAAGCAACUUGUGGUUUUCAGCAAAUUUCAAGCUUUAUAAUGGGUGUGUAUUGGAGAGUUUAGAGUGAUGAUGUCAUCAGCUAGAGUGCAGACCUCGUCUCUGAUCGACAGAACCUCGCUCGAAUAUAUCGCUCCCAUGCCCACAAAUCUCACUCCACUGACACAAAUAAUACAUCAAAAUGGAGGUAUAUGUGUCCUGCUUCUCACAAAAGAGGUUUCAAAUCAUUAAAUCGUACCCCUUGGCCAGCAGGUGACCAACUGUCCAAAAAAGGCGGAAAUCUCUCCCAUUGACUGUAAUGUUAUUUUUCUCCAAGAAAAUCCGGAUCAUCGCUCAAGCUCAGACUUUUUUAACUCGCUGUUGUGGCCUCAUUUUUCGAAGUACAGACAUGAAAAACACAUCAUUGUGUUCAUGAAGGACGGAGGAUUCGUACGAUGUUCUUAUUUUCAUUCUGGGACUUAAGGAAAUCACGCUAUGUGAAGAAGUUCACAGGCUGAAAUUCACUGCAGUUCAGCACCUCUCAGUCAAACAGUAGGUUAGUGAUUUGCCUUUGAUCUCACAGCUGUUUAGGAUGCAGUCAUUAACGACACACACACACACACGCACACACAUUCUUGUACUUGUUACUUUUUGAGGUCCACCUCGCAGUUCAGCUGCUUGUACACACAGUUAAUAUGUGUCUGCUUCACCACCUAUCUCCACCCACAAACUUUGAGCUACAGAAACCAUUCUGGGCUUCAAAAAUUCAGCUCAUUGAAGAUAUUAUGGGGUGUUUUGAGGAUUGUGAUAAUAAAUUGUAUUAAUGUGUUCAGC
rnacentral:lncRNA from 1 species